AACGAACGCUGGCGGCAUGCCUAACACAUGCAAGUCGAACGAGAACUUCGGGUCUGGUGGCGCACGGGUGCGUAAGGGGGAGGAACAUGCCCUUAGGUUCGGAAUAACUCCCCGAAAGGGGUGCUAAUACCGGAUAAUGUCUUCGGACCAAAGAGUUAUCGAGUUUGGGUGGGCCCGCGUUGGAUUAGCUAGUUGGGAGGGUAACAGCCUACCAAGGCGACGAUCUAUAGCUGGGCUGAGAGGAUGAUCAGCGACACUGGGACUGAGACACGGCGCAGACUCCUACGGGAGGCAGGAGUGGGGAAUAUUGGAAAAUGGGCGAAAGCCUGAUCCAGCAAUGCCGCGUGAGUGAUGAAGGCCUGAGGGUUGUAAAGCUCUUUUACCCGGGAUGAUAAUGACAGUACCGGGAGAAUAAGCUCCGGCUAACUACGUG
rnacentral:rRNA from 1 species